CCUCUGAUCACUUGGGUGCCUCCUCUGAACUCUCUCCAGCAGGCACGAGCACCUUCCACUUCUCCAGUCACAGACCUAAAGGCUGACAGCUUUAUUUGGGCACUAUCUGGAUCCAGCACUUUUAUUAUGCCAACCCUUCAACUGGAGCUGUGUCCUGCAGCAGAAAACAGAGCUCCUGAAUCUUUAUGGGAAGUCCAACAAACUGGUGAAUACUGAAAAACUAGGAGGGAAGAACUGAAGUAGAGCUACCACUGAUGCUGAGGUAACUCUUGAGGCAGCAGGGGGGAGGGGAAAGCUGUCUUGGAGUGUUAUUAUCACUUGAUCACAUGGAUGAAGAUGGCAGGAAGCUCCACACUGUCAAAACACAAAAAAAAAAAAGGCAUCUACAGAGAUGCAAAGUGGUCAGUCCUGUCCUGUGUGACACUUUAUUGCUGCCAUGGGCAAAUAUCCAGUGGGAAAUACAGUGCACAGGAGUUAUUUGGGAACAAAACACAGCAGCCAACAUGUUGCUCUAUAAAAUUUAUAUUUUCCGAGGCUCAGUAAUUACAGAGAGCAGUUCCCAGAGUGCACAGACAAAAGGGAGUGAAGGGAGAUGUCACAGCCAGAGCAGCUCCUGUUUGUUCCAUCCUUUACAAACAUUUUGUGCAUCUGUUGGUAUUUGAGUUCAGAGGGACUGAGCCAGCACCAACUGAUGUUGAUGAAAGGAUAUUCAUUAUCUUUAGGGGCUUCUGGGUUAGCAUCAGAUUUAUUAAACCUUUCAGCCAAGGCCUGGUUGGCCAUUUGGGAGUUGAAAGCAUCUUGUGUCCACGAGGGUCUUAAUUAUAAAUUAUCUACACUGUCACAUGUUUGAUAUUUUGAUAGGCUUGAGGACUCUGGGAGUACUUUAGUAGGUGGAAAGGUGUCUAAUACUGAAAUGGACUUUCAGACAGGAGUGUGUCAUGGUCUGCUUUUCAACUGAAGAAAAUGCUUGAUGUAUUUUUGUAUUUUUAUCCUCUUGUAAUGCAUCAUCUGAGGCAUUUAAGCCUAAGUGUGUAGAACAGGAAUUGUUCAUAGAAGAUGAGAGGAGCUCUGGACAUACAGGCUCAGAUCCUGACUCUGCCUUCACUUGACUAAGUCAUAAAAUCUGGACUGUAUCUCUGUCUGCAAAGUAUGUAUAUUAAUAAUUCCUUGUACAGGGGGAAUAUUAUGAAACCCUUUAUGAUUUUAAGAUCCUUCACUGGUAAAUGUGAUACUAAAAGGGUGGAUGGAAAAUGGAGAUAUAUCAGAUAUUCCCUGACUUUUUCAAGAACUGCUUUGCAGAAUUUAGCCUACAGGCUAACUCUCCAUGAAAUUUAUUAUUCACUUAAAUACUGCAUUGCAAGAUUGUUCCAGCUGAACAAUGUGUCCUACUGCUCACUAUCAGAGGGAACAGUCUGCUGCAACUACUCCAUAAUUGUGCUACUAAUGUAUACUUUAUUAAACUCCUGCUGUUUUCUUAACUGGUUUAGCUACUAAAAAUAGUCUGAUUAAUAAAAUGGAUGUCAGAUGUAUCCAUCUUUAUGCAUUUUCCCCAUGGAAUUAGACAGUACUAAACAGUAAUUUGGAUUUUUUCUUUUCCUGUUAGUGUUAAGCAAUGUCAGUUAUUCUCUGCAGUGGAUUGCUGGGAGGAUAUUACAAAUUUGAAUUCAAUUCAGGUUGGCAGCGAUGAGAAUUCAGGUGUUAACUGGUCUGUUGUGUCAUGGCAACCAUGGAACACAUUAGGAUGCCACUGGCCCAAGUGAACCCAGUCUGGGUGAAGGCCCUUUUCUUCGAUUUUAACCUUACAAAAUCUGAAAAUAAACAUGCUUGGGAAGCCCCCCUUAAAAGCACAUCAGCAUGACUGCGUGCUAUGUGUUUAAAUUCUGUAUUUUACAUUCAGAUGGAUACAAUAGGGGUUGGUGAGUCUGUCCUUUGCCUGCUUCUCUCCAAAUCACAGCCAUUCUGACAGCAUUUCUCUGGCUGGGUUUGGGCUGCAGGAACGUUUGAACAUCGCUCUGGUGGGUGUCAUUAUGCAGAUUAAAGCAGUGUUUCACUCCUCAUCUGUGUUACAUAUUCAGAUGUUAACGAUAUAUUGUUUGGAAACUACAAUUAUGUCACAGGGUAUCAGUGAAAGAGUCUCUGCUAAAUAGUUCAGUGAGUGCCACACUCCACAUCUCAAUAUUUGUCUGUGUCAUUUGAGGCUCUUACAAGUUCCCUGGAGGGUUUUGGAAGGAGAAACAGGACAUUGCAGAGGGUUUGAUUAUCCUCUCAUCAGCAGCCACGUCCCUUGGUUGAUUUGAUGGCAUCCCUCCAGUCUACAGUGCUAGAAAAUAAAAGGAGGAUCAAAAAUUCUGCUCACAGAAACAAUGUGUUAAAUUAAUCCGUUAAAAUAACACCAUUGCCUUUGCUGGGAUUACUCCCCAGCAUUAACUGGUGUUUUUUUCCCAGUGGAAUGUAACAAAUAUUCAGUAGUCUGAACAAUCAGAGAGUAGGUGUCACACAAUCCCUCUGCAUCUCCCUUGGGAAUGGCACAUUCCUACUUCAAAAGAACCCCCCUAAAUAUGAGAAUGAGGAACACAAUCCUUUGCAGACACCUGCAGUUCUCUGGGGAGGUUCUGCUGCUUCCUUCCCAUGUGUUUGCUGAGGGGGAGCUCACACAAAGAAAAGCAAGUUUUUCCCUGUGAGCAUCCAGCAAAUGAAAUGGGAAUGCAGGUGAACAUCAGUUAAGGUUUGGCAUUGCCUUAGCUGGGUUCUGGGAGGAUCCUGGGAAUGCAGGUUGACAUUAGCUGAACUCUGGGAGGAUCCUGGGAAUGCAGGUUAUCAUCAAUUAGGAAUUGGUAUUGCCUUAGCUGGGCUCUGGCAGG